GAUGAACGCUGACAGAAUGCUUAACACAUGCAAGUCUUUGGCGAAGCUGUGCUUGCACAGCCUAGCCAAGGCGGACGGGUGAGUAACGCGUAAGGAACUUGCCCUGCAGUCAGGGAUAACAGACGGAAACGACUGAUAAGACCUGGUAAAGUCAGGCGGACUCAUGUCCAGCCUGAUGAAAAGAGAUGCUGCAGGAGAGCCUUGCGUCCUAUUAGCUUGUUGGUGGGGUAACGGCCCACCAAGGCGAUGAUCGGUAGCCGGCCUGAGAGGGUGGACGGCCACAAGGGGACUGAGAUACGGCCCUUACUCCUACGGGAGGCAGCAGUAGGGAAUAUUGGACAAUGGGGGCAACACUGAUCCAGCAAUUCUGUGUGCACGAUGAAGGUUUUCGGAGUGUAAAGUGCUUUCAGCAGGGAAGAAAAAAAUGACGGUACCUGCAGAAGAAGCGACGGCUAAAUACGUG
rnacentral:rRNA from 1 species